rnacentral:tRNA from 1 species
GUUGAAAUAAUUUAUUAAAAUAUUGAUUUUGUAAAUCAAAUUUGACUAUGUCUUUCAAUU